rnacentral:tRNA from 1 species
GGGAGUGUGGCUCAGUGGUAGAGUACUUUCCUAGCACACAGAGGCCCUGGGUUCAAACCCCAGCACACACA